rnacentral:rRNA from 1 species
UCCUGCAGAGAGUGCGGGAGUGCCCGAAGGGAAUCGGAACACAGGUGCUGCAUGGCUGUCGUCAGCUCGUGUCGUGAGAUGUUGGGUUAAGUCCCGCAACGAGCGCAACCCUUAUCAUUAGUUGCUACGCAAGGGCACUCUAAUGAGACUGCCGGUGACAAACCGGAGGAAGAUGGGGAUGACGUCAAGUCCUCAUGGCCCUUAUGUCCAGGGCUACACACGUGCUACAAUGGUCGGUACAAAGGGUUGCGAUCCCGCGAGGGUGAGCCAAUCCCAAAAAGCCGGCCCCAGUACAGAUAGGAGUCUGCAACUCGACUCCUUGAAGGCGGAAUCGCUAGUAAUCGCUGAUCAGCUGGCAGCGGUGAAUACGUUCCCGGGCCUU